GCUUACGCCUGGGCCCUGAGCACACAGCUGCUUCAGAGACAGAGUUGCAUCCCUGCCCCAGGUGGGUGUGGUAUUUGAAACCUAAGCUCCUCUGGCACCUACACAGAGUGGAGCCCCACCAGCUCUCCAAGGAUAUUCCUGUCCUCCCGGGAAAUUUCUUCAACCCUAUUCAUUUUCCAUCGCAAUACCCCAGAUUGCUCCAGCUCCAGCAAAACUGGCCACAGAUUCUCUUCUCUGCGUGCAGAAACCGCCUCUGUGCCUUGAGGAAGGAAGAGCAGAAGACACUGGGUCUGAGGUGGGCCUGAAGACGGGUGGCUACGCUUGGCACUGUCACGCCAAAACACCCUGAGCAAACAUUCCCCAAGGGGCCAGUUCCAGAGGGGCAGACAGCGCGACACUGGUGCCAGGGAGGGGCAGGGUGAGACCACAGCAAAAGAAGCGCUUGGAGGUUGUUUGCUCAGCUCUGAAGAGAAAGGACAAAAACAACAAAACAAACAAACAAACAAACAAAAAACCCGUCCUCCCUGGACAAAUAAAUGGCUCUAUGAAAUAUCUCCUUCCUUAGCCACCCAGAAUAAGGAACUGGGUCGAAGAGGGAACACAUCUGGGGAGGUCCUGGACAUGGUGAAGGAGGGAACCCGUCAGAGGGCACACUAGGCUGUAGGCUGUAACAGCAGACAGGUCUGAGUUCAAGCAGGCAGAUCCGAGAGUGGCACGUCACUCUCAGUCAGGAAAACAGGCAGUCGGGCACAGAAGCUUCCCCUGCAGUGACUGGAGCAGUUGAAGAAGACGCACCGGCAAUCACCCGGCGUAGGCAGGGAGACGGGGGGCAGGAAGGCAGUUAGGUUAUCAUGCUACGAAACAUUCUGGCAGUCUCAAAUAAUUAAACAACAUGUGUGCCCAUAGAAUCCACUGUUUCUAGUCCUGGACACUU